rnacentral:rRNA from 1 species
AGAGUUUGAUUCUGGCUCAGAACGAACGCUGGCGGCGCGUUUUAAGCAUGCAAGUCGAGCGGCAAGGGUCUUCGGGCCCCUAGAGCGGCGGACGGGUGAGUAACACGUGGACAAUCUGCCCCCCGGCCGGGGAUAGCCCAGGGAAACCUGGAUUAAUACCGGAUGAGACGGGACCCGCGGAGGCGGGAUCCGGGAAAGGCGCUGCGGCGCCGCCGGGGGAUGAGUCUGCGUCCCAUUAGCUUGACGGCGGGGUAACGGCCCACCGUGGCGACGAUGGGUAGCCGGCCUGAGAGGGUGGACGGCCACAUUGGAGCUGAGACACGGUCCAGACUCCUACGGGAGGCAGCAGCUAAGAAUCUUCCGCAAUGGGCGAAAGCCUGACGGAGCGACGCCGCGUGAACGAAGAAGGCCGUGAGGUUGUAAAGUUCUUUUCGGGAGGGGGAACAACCGUGGCAGGGAAUGGCCGCGGGAUGACGUGAAUCCCGGAAUAAGCCCCGGCUAACUACGUGCCAGCAGCCGCGGUAACACGUAGGGGGCGAGCGUUGUUCGGAAUUAUUGGGCGUAAAGGGCGUGCAGGCGGUCCUGCAAGUCCGGCGUGAAAGACCCCGGCCCAACCGGGGGGGUGCGCUGGAAACUGCGGUGCUUGGGUACAGGAGGGGAUGCCGGAAUUCCAGGUGUAGGGGUGAAAUCUGUAGAUAUCUGGAAGAACACCGAUGGCGAAAGCAGGCAUCUGGCCAUGUACUGACGCUGAGACGCGAAGGUGCGGGGAGCAAACAGGAUUAGAUACCCUGGUAGUC